rnacentral:rRNA from 1 species
GACGAACGCUGGCGGCGUGCCUAAUACAUGCAAGUCGAGCGAAGUUUUUCUGGUGCUUGCACCGGAAAAACUUAGCGGCGAACGGGUGAGUAACACGUAAAGAACCUGCCUUAUAGACUGGGACAACUAUUGGAAACGAUAGCUAAUACCGGAUAACAGCAUUAACUGCAUGGUUGAUGUUUGAAAGUUGGUUUUGCUAACACUAUGAGUUGGCUUUGCGGUGCAUUAGCUAGUUGGUGGGGUAAAGGCCUACCAAGGCGACGAUGCAUAGCCGACCUGAGAGGGUGAUCGGCCACACUGGGACUGAGACACGGCCCAGACUCCUACGGGAGGCAGCAGUAGGGAAUCUUCCGCAAUGGGCGAAAGCCUGACGGAGCAACGCCGCGUGAGUGAAGAAGGAUUUCGGUUCGUAAAGCUCUGUUGUUAGGGAAGAAUGAUUGUGUAGUAACUAUACACAGUAGAGACGGUACCUAACCAGAAAGCCACGGCUAACUACGCG